UACGAAGGGGGCUAGCGUUGCUCGGAAUUACUGGGCGUAAAGCGCACGUAGGCGGAUUCUUAAGUCGGUGGUGAAAUCCUGGAGCUCAACUCCAGAACUGCCUUCGAUACUGGGAAUCUUGAGUUCGGGAGAGGUGAGUGGAACUGCGAGUGUAGAGGUGAAAUUCGAUAGAUAUUCGGAAGAACACCAGUGGCGAAGGCGGCUCACUGGCCCGGUACUGACGCUGAGGUGCGAAAAGCGUGGGGGAGCAAACAGG
rnacentral:rRNA from 1 species